GGUGGCUCAGUGGCAGAGCACUUGCCUUGCAUGCAAGAGGCCCUGGGUUCAAUUCCUCAGCACCA
rnacentral:tRNA from 1 species